rnacentral:rRNA from 1 species
AUUGAACGCUGGCGGCAUGCCUAACACAUGCAAGUCGAACGGGGCAGCAAUGCCUAGUGGCGGACGGGUGAGGAAUACGUAGGAAUCUGCCCUUAAGUGGGGGAUAACCAGGGGAAACCCUGACUAAUACCGCAUGAUCUCUUCGGAGCAAAGAGGGGGACCGCAAGGCCUCUCGCUCCUGGAUGAGCCUACGUCUGAUUAGCUAGUUGGUAGGGUAAAGGCCUACCAAGGCGACGAUCAGUAACUGGUCUGAGAGGAUGAUCAGUCACACCGGAACUGAGACACGGUCCGGACUCCUACGGGAGGCAGCAGUGGGGAAUAUUGGACAAUGGGCGCAAGCCUGAUCCAGCAAUGCCGCGUGUGUGAAGAAGGCCUUCGGGUUGUAAAGCACUUUAGCCUGGAAAGAAAAAACUUUGGUUAACACCCAAAGUCUUGACGGUACCAGGAGAAUAAGCACCGGCUAACUCUGUGCCAGCCGCCGCUGUAAGAC